rnacentral:rRNA from 1 species
UGGCGCCUGUUUAUCAAAAACAUGGUUUUUUGUUGUUAUAAAAAAUCUGGUCUGCUCACUGCUAAGGUAAAUAGCCGCAGUAUAUUGACUGUGCUAAGGUAGCAUAAUCAUUUGCCUUUUAAUUGAAGGCUAGCAUGAAUGAUUUUACGUGAUAAGGUCUGUCUCCAGUAAAGUGUUUGAAUUUGAUUAGCUGGUAAAAAGGCCAUGAUAUUACUGGGGGACGAUAAGACCCUGUUAAGCUUAAUUUUUGAAUUUUACUGGGGUGGUAAUUUAAGAUUAGGAUCUUAAUAACAUGAAUUGAAGUAUCAGACCCAAUAUUAUUGAGUAUUAGAUAAAGCUACUACAGGGAUAACAGCUUAAUUUUUCUAAAAAGUUCUUAUUUUAAGGAAAGUUUGUGACCUCGAUGUUGAAUUAAAUGUUCUGUUUGGCGAAGUAGCUAAAUAAGAUAGUCUGUUCGACUAUUAAGAUUUUACGUGAUCUGAGUUCAGACCGGCCA